UACGGAGGGGGCUAGCGUUGUUCGGAAUUACUGGGCGUAAAGCGCACGUAGGCGGACUGUUAAGUCGGGGGUGAAAUCCUGGGGCUCAACCUCAGAAUUGCCUCCGAUACUGGCAGUCUCGAGUGCGGGAGAGGUGAGUGGAAUUCCCAGUGAUAGAGGUGAAAUUCGUAGAUAUUGGGAAGAACACCAGUGGCGAAGGCGGCUCACUGGCCCG
rnacentral:rRNA from 1 species